rnacentral:lncRNA from 1 species
GCGCAAGACCGGAGAAGGCGAAAACUCGCCGUGCAGCUGCCAGCUCCGCACGGGCGGGGCGGGGGGGGACAAGGCGUAGCGAGCAGAGCAGCAGCACCGGAUCCCGGCCCUUCACCCUGGAGAGCGGCGACAGGCAGAGCCCAGCUCUUCCCCCGGCAGCGCAAGACCGGAGAAGGCGAAAACUCGCCGUGCAGCUGCCAGCUCCGCACCGGCGGGGCGGGGCGGGGCGAGGCGGGGCGGGACAGGGCAUCCCAUCCCAUCCCACCCCACCCCCGGCCCUGCCCCGCCGAGGGACGCGGACACCGGCGGGGGAAGGAGAAGGGGAGCGGCGAGGAGCGCGGCUGCUGCCGUCCCGUACGAGCCCCGCACCGCCCAGCCCAGCCCAGCCCGGGCUCCCUGCGACAGCCCGGCCCCGCUCGGCUCCGCGCUGCGCCGAUGCUUGAGGCCUCUCUGAUCUUCUGACAUCUGUGACUAGCUGUCACUGAAGAACUAUGCGUGACAGAACCUGAAGGCUAUGCAGAAUACAGAAUUGCAGAAUACAGAAUUAAAGAAUACAGCUCCUGAGCUCAUACCCCACAGCGUAUGUAUUUCCUCUGCCUAUGGAUGCUACUGCUACCAAGCACACAUCUUCUUUCGUAACACCAGGCACUUUUCUGGAAAUAAAAUUCACAAAGCAAUCCAACACAUUUUCAUCCAGGAGUGUAAACCAAGACUGAAUUUCCAAGGCCUGGACAUCUUUUCUUACUUUCAU